UACGAAGGGUGCAAGCGUUACUCGGAAUUACUGGGCGUAAAGCGUGCGCAGGCGGUGAUGUAAGACAGGUGUGAAAUCCCCGGGCUUAACCUGGGAACUGCAUUUGUGACUGCAUCGCUGGAGUGCGGCAGAGGGGGAUGGAAUUCCGCGUGUAGCAGUGAAAUGCGUAGAUAUGCGGAGGAACACCGAUGGCGAAGGCAAUCCCCUGGGCCUGCACUGACGCUCAUGUACGAAAGCGUGGGGAGCAAACAGG
rnacentral:rRNA from 1 species